UUACUCAGGGUGAUGUCAUCACCCUACUUCGGCCUUCCAGGUCGCCCUGAAUUUCUAAUGUUAGAACAAGCGGGGAAACGCUUUAAAAAAAGACCCGGGAUUAUAAAAUCCUUCAGGACUUCAUGAGCCACCCAGAGAACCAGCGACAAACCCACUGCGAUUACUCGGUCUGAAGGCCCCUUUCACUCAGCCAAGCAGCACCCACCCCCGACAACGCGGGGACGUCACCACAGGACCUGGCGGCUCGGCAGACGGAGCAGGCCUGGCAGCGCAGGGGGGUGGGAGUCAUAACCGCGCCGGGCCCAAGGGGAGCGAGGCUGAGUCCGACCCGCCCCCCGGCCGCGCGCUCCCCCUCCUGGGCAGGCAGCAGGGGAGGAACUCGCGGCCGGCUAACCGCCGCCCCCUCGCGCCACGCGGGAACGGAGGUCCUUGCCGGCCUGGCUGUUGAGAGGCCGCCGCAGCCGCUAGCCCGGCCACCCCUCUGCCAGAUUAUUGGAGUAAUUUUUAUUGAAAAUAUAAGAUCUACAAAGCCAUGGAUACCCAGCGUGGAAGAACUCAUUAAAUUAGCACAUUCAUCUUUAAAAGGAGAACUUCUGAUCAACAUAAGGUACAACAAUGUUGGAUUUAAAAUCUCUACUCUCCUUCUGUGAGUUUCAAAUCUCUUUUUAUUAGGAGGUUCUGUGCAAGAGCUGCUUGUCACGAAAGGAAACACUUUACAAUUAAUGAAUGUGUUCAUUAUAUAAUAAA